rnacentral:rRNA from 1 species
CCUACGGGCGGCAGCAGUGAGGAAUAUUGGUCAAUGGGCGAGAGCCUGAACCAGCCAAGUCGCGUGAGGGAGUACUGCCCUAUGGGUUGUAAACCUCUUUUGUCGGGGAGCAAAAGCCGGACGUGUCCGGCUGUGAGAGUACCCGAAGCAAACGCAUCGGCUAACUCCGUGCCAGCAGCCGCGGUAAUACGGAGGAUGCGAGCGUUAUCCGGAUUUAUUGGGUUUAAAGGGUGCGCAGGCGGAUUUUUAAGUCAGCGGUAAAAUCGUGGGGCUCAACCCCAUCCAGCCGUUGAAACUGGGGAUCUAGAGUGUGCGAGAGGUAUGCGGAAUGCGUGGUGUAGCGGUGAAAUGCAUAGAGAUCACGCAGAACCCCGGUUGCGAAGGCAGCAUACCGGUGCACAACUGACGCUCAGGCACGAAAGCGUGGGUAUCGAACAGGAUUAGAUACCCUUGUAGUC